GGAGGAAGUUCCGGCAGGACGACUUUGACCAAUGCUUUUCUCGUUCCUCCUUAGUUCUGCCCUCUCGGCUUUCUGGUGACCUUACUGCCGUUACUGCUGUGGCCGCUUAUGUCCGACCCUCCUUGCCUAGCCUGCGUUUUACCACAACUCCCUACGGGGUCCAACUCCAUCCUGGCCGCCCUUUCCCUAAAGAACUUUACUCUACGGGUCCCCAUCAGGGCCAAGUGACAUUCUUCGCGGAGGGAAACGCUCCUGGAACUUAACUGCUCCCGAAGCCUAUCGCAGCCAGGCCGGCGCCUGCGCAGGGCGUUACCAUAGAGAAGCAGCCGCCUCUCUGGUCUCGCACCAAGCGCUUAACCUCAUUGGGGUGGAGGAGAAGGCGGCGGCCGUCGGUUCCGCAGCAGCAAUAGGAGCGGCUAAUACGGCCGUUAAGCAAAGUCAGAAAUCUGUUGAAGAGGCUGUUUUUCGUGGAGGUGUGAAAUACUGUGUCUCCAAGUUACAAUCUAAGUGAAUGGACUGCUGAAUUAUGAAGUGUUUCAGACCCAGGAGGAGAACAUCACUCUGCCACUCACUCCUUUAUCU
rnacentral:lncRNA from 1 species